rnacentral:lncRNA from 1 species
UCGAGGGCUCGAAUACAUAGCUCGAUACACAAGAGUCGGCGGAAGCAACAAUAUUUGAGUACAGACGUAAGUUAAACAAGGAUGCCUUAAGAAGGCUAGCACAAAAGCAACACGAUCGAAGAGGCAAGGCCACCUGCCUAUGACCUCCUAACUACUCCUGGCCAUCGGCGGUCUCCAUGUAGUAGUAUCCGUCGGCGGUGGCAUCUGGUUCCAGGGGUCCACCAUCUGGUUGCAACAACCGGAAAGAAGAAAAAAGGGGGAAAAUGGGGUAGCAAACCAACCGUGAGUACUCAUCCAAAGUACUCACAAGCAUCAGAUCUAUACUAGGCAUGCAUUGGUAUCAAAUGGAAGGUUUGUAUCUGUGGGCUGAACUGCAGAAAGCCAGAAUAGAGAGGGAAGGCCUAGCCUAUCGAAGACUAGCAUCUUCAAGCAGCUCCGAGCAUCUUGCAGCAUGUAGAAGAGUAAAGAAUAGCAGUUUAUAAUUAACAAACAUGUUGUAACAUUAAUGCCCAGAGAUCCUUCCUCGACUCCCUGCGAGAAAGCAAUCCCGAAGCCACAUAUCUCAAGUAUCCAUUUGUAGUUGUAUAAGAUCAGGAUAUAAGUCUGAGCGUCUGUUACCGUGGACACGGCUAAUAUUAGAUAAUAUUCCUUGCAGGGGUGCACCAUGUUUUCCAGCACACUUGAUUACUCUGGCCGGACACACUUUCUGGGGUCAUGCCCGGCCUCGGAAGAUCAACACGUCGCAGCCCUACCUAGGCUCAGCAGAGAGGUCCCCGCCGGUCUACCUCCUAAGCACUCCGGGGUCUGGGCCCAUCGCCCGUUACACUCCGGGUCGUUGCACACAGGGAGGACCUAGGCACCACCUUUGGGGUGCCGGCCUAGCCGUGCCGUACUGCUGAACUUGACGUCUGACAAAGCUUCGGCUGAUACCACGACGCCGAGGUCCAUAACUAUUCUCACGUGGUGAUUGGUGCGUAAAGGCCAAAGGCCAACUCAGAACAAAUACCCAAACCAUAGUGUAUUAUUAGCUUGCGGAGAUAAGCAAAGACUCACGAUCGAAGUGACCCCGUCGCCCCGUCUCAUGGACUUACGGCAAGGGCCCAGAAUGCCCGGCCGUGCCAUGUAACCAUCUUGCGGGUGCUCUCCGGGCCCGCCCGACUUUCACCAAGGUCUCAAGUAAAGUCAAUUGUAACCGUGUGUCCAAACAUCAAGGGGAAAACCCUAGGAAUCACCCAUGGAGGAUUCCACUCGAUGUAAUCAUCAAGAUGAACGUAAGAGGAUCCACCCUCGAGGUUCACACUUGAGGUGUUGCACGACAGAGCCGUAUCGAGAAUGGUGAAAGAGGAAAUCACCCUCGUUGACCACGACUAAAUAGCUACACUACAGAGAUCUCAUCAAGAGUGAUGUAUGAGGUUCCACCCUCGUCACUCGAUGGUAACUCUGCAGAGUCGAGCAACAAAAAGGGGCGUGAUGUGAUGUGAGGUGUCAGGCUCUGGUCGUCGAUCACGUUGAUCGGGUCAUCGAUGAUGAAGCAGGGGCAACAAGGACAAGUGGGGGUCACUGAUGGAUCACUAACCGACCUAUACUAAGUAGUUUAGGUUAAGUAGGUAAGGUACAACAACAGGUUACAAAAGCAAGCUAUGCAUCAGAAUAGGAGCAAUCAAUGACAGUAGCAAAAUCUAAUGCAAGCAUGAUAGAAUGGAAUGGGUGAUAUCAGGAUGAUCAAAGGGGGGGCUUGCCUAGAAGCUCCACUGAAAGGGAAGAAGAGUCGUCGUCGACGUAGACGAUCACAGUGGCAUCAACAGCGGUCUCGGGGUCUAUCGGAGAGAAGAGGGGGAAGAAAUAGUAAAUACAUGCCAAUAUAAGCAUAACAUGACUAUAAGGGAUGCUAGGGGUGUUCUAACGCGGUGUUACAUGAUACCGGCGCAGGGAGAAAUAUCCGGGAAAGUUUUCCCGGUUCCGGAGUCUAUUAGACAGAUGAACCGGAGGGAAAAGGUUGCAUUUUCGCUAUGCUAGGGAUGUGUGGCGGAUGAACAGACCAUGUAUUCAGAUUCAUCUCGUAGUUCUGAGCAACUUUCAUGUAUAAAAGUUUUUCAUCUGACUUACGGAUUAUUUUAAAUGGUUUUCUAAAGUUUUAGUAAUAUUCUGAAAUGAACAGAUUUAAUUAAAAUGAAAACAGGGUUAUGACAUCAGCAUGAUGUCAGUAGCCAACAGGGCUGUUCACUGGGUCAGCUAACAUGUGGGUCCUGGUUGUCAUAGACACAGUUAACUAACAAACUUUAAUUAGCUAAAUAGGUAAUUAGACUUAACUAAACAAAAUUAAUUAAGUUAAUUAAUUAAUUAGCUAAUUAAUUUUAUUAAUAUAUUUUUUGUUUGUUUUGUUUUUUUACAGGAAAAUGGGGCUGGGGGCCCCACUAGGCUGUGACCCGGGGGGGUUAGCGGGUGCGGCUAAACGGGCGCCGACGGGGCCCCAGGCGCGCGGUGCGAGUGCUGCCCGGGCGCUGACUGAGCCCAACGAGGCAAACCGCAGGGGGGUGGCACAGCCAGGCACAACCACGGGCGCGUCCCAGGCGCAGCCACGGGCGCGGCCCCAGCGCGGGACGACGGGCGCGCAACAGCGGCAGUGGCAGAGCUGUGCGGCCGCAGCUGACGAAGGUGGGAGAGGCGGGGCGCGUGCUGGGCGCGGUGAGCACAAGACAGGACGCAGGGACCGUGUCGACCGAGGCAGCGUUGUAUGUCGUCGGGGGAGGAAAGGCAGAGAGAGGGGUUCUCACCCCCGUUGUAGAUGAACUGGGGGUCCGGCGAGGCGCGAUGACGAAGCCGAGGAGGAGACGAAGACGAGGCGAUGGGGGCGAGGCAGUCUGGUGGCGGCGGCGGCGGGGUCUGGCGACGGCGAUUGGCAUCAAGGUAGAGGCAGCGGCGGUUGGCCCCGACCGGAUCCAUGCAGGGGGAGUCCGGGAUGAGUGCUGGAGAACGUGGAGGCGCGAGAUCCGGCCAGGUCCUGGCCGAGGACGGUGGCACAAGGACAGGGGGAGGAGUUGCGGGGCGGAGGCGGCGGUGCGGUGGUCCGGCGAGGUGGCCCUGGGCGAAAGCGACGGGCAGCACCGCGGGGUCGAACGACGGCGGCGGGAUCGGGUGCCCCGACCCAGAUGGGAUCGGGAGAGAAAGAGGGGGAGUGGGGAAACGUGAGAGAGUGGGGGUUGGGCUAGGGUUAGGUCGGGUGGGAGUCGGGCCAUAUAGGCCAGGGAGGGGUGUGGGGAGUGGGCCGGCCUGGCCGCCCGACUGAAAGGCCAGUUGGGCCACGAGGCCCACUCGGAGAGGGGGGGUUUAUCUUGUUUUUCACUUUUCAUUUCUUUUUGCAAUUUUUUUUAGCUAGCAAGUCUAUUUUGUAAAAUGUGGGACUUGCCCACAUAAAUAACUUGCAUUAACUAGCUCUGCCACAAAAAGUUAGGGAUACCAUUGCGUUUGUUAGAAUUUUUCAUAAAUGGAAAGGUAUUUGAAUAUAUUGCUCUAGCACUGAAUUAAUUAGUUUAGGGCAUUAAACCGCUUUAUAAAAAAUGUUGGUCCACCACCAAUGUUAGGAAGUGAAUAUUUGUCACAUGAUCAACAUUUUGGUUUUUCAUGUUUGUGAAACUUUGGAUUGUACUUAGAAUUUGAAAUUUGAAUUAGGACCGGAUUGAAUCAAAGGGGAAAGACUUAGGAAGGACAAAGCUCAACACAACAUAGGGUACCUGGGGCUAUCUCAUUGAACAUGGCAUAGAGGCACCUCUCGAGUCGAAAUUCAAGAAAGACGUCGAGAGCAAGGUAAGGAGGUGCAUUAAGAAGCUUCAACCGGGUAGGCAAUCAUUCGUUGCCUGAAAUAGAGGGUGAAAGGGGGGUUCAGAACAAUGGGAACAAGUAUUGCGUCUGAUACCAGAAUAGAUCACUAGGAAUGUGGCUCAUGAAUUACAUACGAAGCUAAGCGCGAGGAAUAACUUAGAAAAUAGGGAUGUAUAGGAGAGUCGGGUUUCGAUCAUGUGGAACUGUGGGUUAUGGGCCCACCAUGUGGGUUAAAAGCAGGAAGGGUGCUAACAUUUUGCACGGUCUUGAUAGCAAGGCAUGUCUAACAAUAACCUGUCAGUUACGUCGGCAACAACAUUGGUACCAAGGGCAAGGGACGAAGAGAACCAUUUUCCUGCUCGUUAAGACAAGACGGACCAAUAGGCAAAGUUCUCGUCCAUCGGUGGCUACCGGAAUGUCAUCAACAAUAGUAACAAAGUCUUACUGACAGAGUUGUACACUGAGGUGUUUACAUAACCAGGGAAUUAUCACUGCUCGGAUAUGUUAGGUUACAAGAAAGGUUAAACAACGCAAUGGAGACUUGAAUCAGUUAUCGGUGUUCUCGAGUGCCUAACAACUCAGAACCCGUGGAAAAUAUGAAUCGGCGAGAAUAAUAGUUGAUGAAAAACUCAUAAGAAGUUAUGUAGUUCUGUGAUAUUCUCGAGAUACCAGAGGGUAACACUUGAAGGUAGAUCAAAGUAGAGGCUUGACAGGUGAAAUGAUCUAAAGAAGACAAGUACUUUAACUCGUCCGAGAAAAGCAAUCAAAGGAUAACAGUCAUGGUCGGAACCACGGUUGCCAAGGACCAAGCAUAGAUACAGUAUGAACUCAUCACAAGGGGAUCACUAUUACAAGAAGCUUCCAUGGUAAGUUCCACACCGGGUCCAUGGGCAUGAACACAAAGGUUCAAGGUCGACUCCCACUUCAUCAAUGCAUAACCUUCCAUUUACUUCUCGUCUUUGACGAAGUUGUAGGGUCAAACUUCAUGAGUAAAUAACUCAAGAUCGGAGUAGAGCAUGAUUGAGGAAGCGGAAGAUACAAUUGACCAAAGGCAUUAUGUAUCCGAGGAAAGGCUCACAAGGUUACUGUAUAUGAAGGACGAUGUCAGAUAGAACCCCACAAAAGAUCUGGUGGUUCACAAGGGAUCUGAUGUGAGCAUCAGUACUCAACCAGAAGAAGAAAGAAUGCAAGGAUAAUAGAUUAUAGAAACAACUGACUAAUUCUAAGCUCGAAUGCAAAGGGGAUUGUGAUUUCCAAAACAGGGGAUCAGAAGUAGAGGCUCUGAUCAAAGACAAUUAAGUAGAAUGGACAUAGACCAACAAUCAAUCAAGAUUUGAUUUGUUUGAACACCAGCUCAUGUCCGAAGUGACGUCUGAACCAAGGGAAGAAUUUUAAAUAGGACUGAUGAUCGCGAGCAUUCACAAACUAAUCGAAUGAAAUGCUCGAAAUUACGAUGACAAAGGAUGCUAAUGAGUAUCGCUAGACAUACGGAGUAACCAUAAUGCAAGCAGAUAAGGAGAACAAGAGUAACAGGCUACUGAGGAUUUUCGGAAGAUCGAAUGAUAUUCCAAAGAAUUUUGUGAAACACAUGAACAACUGUGGAUGAAUGGAUACUCGGUAAGCGCGACUAAUUAUCCAUAGGGGUAUUUAGGUGGCAAAGAGCUACAAGGCAGUAGGCACAACAGAUUCUCAGGACAACAGAGAGUAAUUCGGGGCACCUUGAAAUAACAAGAGCAACUGGAGAUGAAGGUAUGAACGACAACAUAGGUAGUUACGCAUAAGGAUUUAUCGGUGGUAGGGAUCGCAACGGCAAAGGUUACAAGGGACUCGGUAAAACAUCGGAGAGUAUCUUCAGAACCUUCUGGUGUACCAAGUAAUCAUCUGGAGUGAGGGGCUCUACGGAAGAAAGUAUUUACGAGAACCUAGAGUUGGAGUUAGAAAAACCAUUUGACCUGAAUAGAAUAGAGAUCAGAAUCCCAGAGUAUAGAAGAUGAAUAAAAGAUCCUAAUACCACCCAAUGGCGACGUGGGCCCGUAAGGCACACAGUCAUGUUAGUAAAACCAUUUUUCAAACGCUAGACUCAACUUCGGCCAAGGAGUUGGAAAGGGGGAUCCUACAGGUAGUCGGCUCUGAUACCAACUUGUGACGCCCCCGAUUCAAUCGUACACUAAUCAUACACGCAAAUGUGUAUGAUCAAGAUCAGGGACUCACGGGAAGAUAUCAUAACACAACUCUACACACAAAUCAAAAUAAUACAAGCUUUAUAUUACAAGCCAGGGGCCUCGAGGGCUCGAAUACAUAGCUCGAUACAUGAGAUUCAGUGGAAGAACCAAUAUCUGAGUACAGACAUAAGUUAAACAAGGAUGCCUUAUGAAGGCUAGCACAAAAGCAACACGAUCGAAGAGGCAAGGCCUCCUGCCUGGGACCUCCUAACUACUCCUGGCCAUCGGCGGUCUCCAUGUAGUAGUAUCCGUCGGCGGUGGCAUCUGG